rnacentral:rRNA from 1 species
AUUGAACGCUGGCGGCAGGCCUAACACAUGCAAGUCGAGCGAGCUGCGGACGGGUGAGUAAUGUAUGGGGACUGCCCGAUAGAGGGGGAUAACUACUGGAAACGGUGGCUAAUACCGCAUACUAUCGGAUUACCCAGAUGGGAUUAGCUAGUAGGUAAGGUAACGGCUUACCUAGGCGACGAUCCCUAGCUGGUCUGAGAGGAUGAUCAGCCACACUGGAACUGAGACACGGCCCAGACUCCUACGGAGGCAGCAGUGGGGAAUAUUGCACAAUGGGCGCAAGCCUGAUGCAGCCAUGCCGCGUGUAUGAAGAAGGCCCUCGGGUUGUAAAGUACUUUCAGUGGGGAGGCGUUACCGGCAGAAGAAGCACCGGCUAACUCCGUGCCAGCCGCCGCGGUAAUAC